rnacentral:rRNA from 1 species
GAUGAACGCUAGCUACAGGCUUAACACAUGCAAGUCGAGGGACCGGCGCACGGGUGAGUAACACGUAUCCCACCUGCCCUUUACUCGGGGAUAGCCUUUCGCAAGAAAGAUUAAUACCCGAUGUAAAGGAUGGGGAUGCGUUCGAUUAGGUUGUUGGUGAGGUAACGGCUCACCAAGCCUUCGAUGGAUAGGGGUUGUGAGAGGAAGGUCCCCCACAUUGGAACUGGGACACGGUCCAAACUCGUACGGGAGGCAGAAGUGAGGAAGAUUGGGCAAUGGGCGUUAGCCUGAACCAGCCAAGUAGCGUGAAGGAUGAAGGCUUAUGGGUCGUAAACUUCUUUUAUAGAAGAAUAGGUAUUAUAUGAAUAAGGAUCGGCUAACUCCGUGCCAGCAGCCGCGGUAAUUC